rnacentral:rRNA from 1 species
AUGGGUGACUAUCUAGCACGGUUCAGAGAGCACGUGUAUGUAGUCUGCGCUGGUGAAUGGAAGCCCCCGCCGAAAAAAAGAAGCGGCUCUUCCCACGGCUCUGUCACCAUUGACUCUAUUUAUUAUUAUGGUAAAUCAUUGUAUCAAGAUGUCAAUCUUAGAUCUUAUUUUAGUUCGAUACGUCCACCUACGAAACUUGCCCUUGGCUUUCGUCUCGGUAGGUGUAUUAUUCUACAUUUUCCCAAAAGGACAUUCAUUCAUUUCUUUCUUCCCGGGCGACCACCACGACUAAAACGAAAACAAGACAAGAAAUCAAGACCCGUACUACAGGAAAAGGGCUGGUGGCCGACAUUUGGGAAAGUCGGGCCGAUCGGGUGUCUUCAUUCAAGCGAGGGUACAGAGGAAGAACGAAACGAAGUGAGAGGCCGGGGGGCAGGGAAAAGAGUCGAGUCGAUCGACCGGGAGAAGCAAAACGAAAUCCGGAUUUGGCCGAAAAAGAUGUAA